UCCGAGAUCGUCUAACGGUAGGACGCUUGGUUCUGGCCCAAGUAAUCGUGGUUCAAAUCCAUGUCUCGGAGCCA
rnacentral:tRNA from 1 species